UGUAACCCUUGAAAGGGGAAGCCGCUGAGGCUUGGAGCAGCUCAGUUCAAGCCUGGUCUCUGCCUUCCAGAAGCGGCCGUGGUCAUAUAUGCUCCAGCUCCCUCACAGGGCGCCGAUUAAUCACCUACCCAACAACCUCAUUUAACAGAUGAGAGAACAGACCUACAGAGGUAAACAGCCUUGCCCAAGCCCCAGAUAGCCUAGUGAGUCAAUGGCAGGAUUGAAACCAGAAUCCAGGGUGACUCAGGGCGGUGGAAACUAUAAAAUACUCGGAAAAUAGAGUCCUGUAAAUCCAAAAUAUCCCCACACACUUUUCACCUUUAUGAGGUGUUGUCUUUAAGGCCCGGUCAGAAUGACUUGAGUUAUAAGAUUAAGCAAACAUUUGGAGGAACCCCAGGCCCUUGGAAACAGCAGCCCUUGUGUUGGCCUCACCUCUCUUCCCUGGGAGGAGAGAGCAUGCAGGGCAGUGGGAAGCGCAUGGACUGGGGCUUCUGGCAAGUCAGGGUUUGAAUCUCAGCUUCACAAACAGUGGGAGUUACCCUCUCGGAGCCUCAGUUUGCUCACCUCUAGGAUGGGAUGAUGACACCUCCCUCACCAAGCUCCUGCGUGGAAUAGUCCCUCGGAGUCCCUGAAAAUUUGAGCAACAUAAAGUGGCGUGACAGGUGAAUUUGUACACAGUUGGGAGGGGAGGAAUGUCUGCUGGAUUCUCAGAAGACCAGAUGGUGUUCGCACUUUGGAUAUAAUUCAGCUAUUUCCCCAAAGGACAGAUCAAGGACAAAGGAGCUGUGUCCCUAGUAAGAUAGCAUUCUUUCAAUACGAAGAUGUAUUUUUGGCCACAAGGGGCCUUUUGAAAACUACCUCUUGGGCAGUUACAGACUCUGUGGCCCUUGAGAGCCACAGGUCAAAGGUCAAGGCCCAUAGAAAUGGCUGUAUCCCAGGACUCGGGGCAGUGGGACUGCUUAUCCUCCUGAGGCCCCUGUGGUGUGGUCAUGGGUACUGCCAAUGUCUGCGCCGCUCUGGGCACUGUCUCAAGCAAAGUUUCCCUGUGACUGGAACACCCGCAGCCCUACUCAGCACGCAGGCAGCGACACAGCAGCAAACAACUUGCGUCUGUUUCCUGGUGGCUUGUUCUCUGGGACGCAGAAAAGAACAUGGCGACCGCCAACAUUCAGGCCUAUCUGGGAGAUGAGCUGUGGUGAAAGGGUUCCAUUUAGUUCAGAUCCAGUCGGAAUUAAAAGCUUAAGUAGAAGAACCAAGCCAAGAGUGAAGAGCCCGGGGCAGCACCGGCCCUAAGAGGAUCCCUCAGAAGAGCAGAGGCUUCAUUCAUUCACUCAUUCAUUUAACACAUGUUACGACUGAGCUACAAGAGAAAGAACAUGUAUUGAGAAGCUACUAUGUGUCAGGUUCUAACAUGAGAGGACAACCACUGGACAGCCCCCUACAACAAUUAUCCAGUCCACGGUGCAACAGUGUCAAGGUUGAGAAACCCUGAAUUAUAGGCAUUCAUAUGGAUGAAUCCCAUAAACACAAUGUUGAGUGCAGAAAGCAAGUUGCAGAAGAACUAAUAUAGCAUAAUACUGUUUUUUUUAAGAGCUCAAAGGUGAGAAAACAAAAAGAGUAUAUUGUUU
ensembl:lncRNA